GGAAGCGAGCUAAUCAUGGAAAUUUUGGAGCCGCCAUACGCGUUUCCCACUGAGCACCUUUGUGGAAUCCUGAGCGAUGAAGUUUCCAGAGGGUGGCAUGGCUGAGAGCAACGGUGGCCCCUGAGGACACGUGGCCAGGAUGCCCUCG
rnacentral:lncRNA from 1 species